AUGAACGCUGGCGGCGUGCCUAAUACCUGCAAGUCAAGCGCACGGACGAGAAGCUUGCUUCUCUGAUGUUAGCGGCGGACGGGUGAGUAACACGUGGAUAACCUACCUAUAAGACUGGGAUAACUUCGGGAAACCGGAGCUAAUACCGGAUAAUAUUUUGAACCGCAUGGUUCAAAAGUGAAAGACGGUCUUGCUGUCACUUAUAGAUGGAUCCGCGCUGCAUUAGCUAGUUGGUAAGGUAACGGCUUACCAAGGCAACGAUGCAUAGCCGACCUGAGAGGGUGAUCGGCCACACUGGAACUGAGACACGGUCCAGACUCCUACGGGAGGCAGCAGUAGGGAAUCUUCCGCAAUGGGCGAAAGCCUGACGGAGCAACGCCGCGUGAGUGAUGAAGGUCUUCGGAUCGUAAAACUCUGUUAUUAGGGAAGAACAUAUGUGUAAGUAACUGUGCACAUCUUGACGGUACCUAAUCAGAAAGCCACGGCUAACUACGUG
rnacentral:rRNA from 1 species